CUCUCUCCGCGGCUCCACCCAUGAGCGCCCCAGACGAAGUUUAAGAAUCCGCUUCCUCUUUGCAAAACCUGCUGGCUCUGGUUCCAAAGGAAUCAGACUAAAUAAAAUACUUCCCAUAUUUGAAGCACAAGUUUGGAGACAACUAUAAACAUUCUAAGGUAUCUAUAAGGAAGUACAACAGUGUUGCAGAUUCCUCAAAAAUAAGUAAAUCAUCUAGAUUUCAUACUGACAAGUUUCUCUCUGUGUUUGUAUAACAAAGUCUUCCAAAACACUGUAUUAAUCAGGAGGUUUAAAUCAGGCACCUGCUGUAUAAAGCACCUCAGCUGACCCUGUGGAACAGCUCUCCAUACACAAAUGCUGCCAGGAGAGAGCUGGUCUCCCAGGAGUGCGGACACACCUGUGAGCACAGGUAAAACCACCAUCUCUGCUCAAAAUUCUGGCCCAAGAGGGACCCACCGAGAGCCCUCAGGACACAGGAACCAAGGAAAAGCUGGGGACACGAUCCUUCCAGUUUCUGCCUACACCCCAGGGCUGAUCCAGUGCCACAGCUCACCAUACCCAAAUUAAUCCUGGAGAGAACUGGUUUCCCAGGACUACUGACACACAGGCUUGCAGGAGGGAUAAGCCACAGUCAGAGACAGCAAUGCCAGCUAACACCAGAGUUAACCAGAUGGUAAAAGGCAAGGGCAAGAACAUAAGCAACAGAAACUAAGGCUACUUGGCUUCAACAGAACCCAGUUCUCCCACCACAGUGAGCCCUGGAUACCCCAACUCACCAGGAAAGCAAGAAUCUGAUCAUCUCCUGAUGAUGAUGAUAGAGGAAGUUAAGAAGGACAUAAAUAAUCCCCUUAAAGAAAUACAGAACAGAAAUAAACAGGUAGAAAACCUUAAAGAGGAAACACAAAAAUCCCUUAAAGUAUUACACGAAAAGACAACCAAACAGGUGAAGGAAUUGAACAAAACCAUUCAGUAUCUAAAAAUAGAAGUAGAAACAAUAAAGAAAUCACAAAGGGUGACAACCCUGGAGACAGGGAACCUAGGAAAGAGAUCCAGAGUAAUAGAUACAAGCAUCACCAACAGAAUACAA
rnacentral:lncRNA from 1 species